rnacentral:lncRNA from 1 species
UUUUUUUUUUUUUUUUUUUUUUUUUUUUUUGUCUUUUGUCUUUUGUUGUUGUUGUUGUUGCUAUUUCUUGGGCCGCUCCCGUGGCAUAUGGAGGUUCCCAGGCUAGGGGUUGAAUUGGAGCUGUAGCCACCAGCCUACGCCAGAGCCACAGCAACUCGGGAUCCGAGCCGCGUCUGCAACCUACACCACAGCUCACGGCAACGCCGGAUCGUUAACCCACUGAGCAAGGGCAGGGACCGAACCCGCAACCUCAUGGUUCCUAGUCGGAUUCGUUAACCACUGCACCAUGACGGGAACUCCCAUUUAAAUGUUUAAAGCAAAAAUUUAAAACCCUGCUAGAGAUGUUAUUGGCAAGUAGGCUGAAAGGUCAUUUGGUUUUAGUUUUCAGUUCUGAUGUGUAAAAACGGUUUUGGAUUUUUCAAAUCGGUUAAUCAUAAUGAUAAUUUUAUCAAAGACAUGCCAGUUUGAAUACCUGCUAAUUUUGCAUUUUUCUUGUGAAAUGGAUUAAAGGAAUGGGCCAUACCACAUUUGAAAAAGCCUUUCCAGGGAUUUUGUUCAUACUUUUACUCACUCAAUUUUUAGGAAAGAAAAAUACCGGCCAACUUACAUCCAUUUCCAAGAACAGUGAAGAAGUAUAUAAAUAGUAGAUUAAAAAUAAAUGCUGCCAUAUUUGGCUCUUUUAACAGCUAUCAGAGUGUGUUGUCAAGAAAAAAAAAAACAUCUAAUGUUUCAAAUAAAACUGUUUUGUGUUGCUCUCUUUACUCUAAAAAAUUCUUGUGAGACUUGUUUUUGUAAAUAUUUUAGCCCAAAUAUGAAUUAGCUCCUCAACACUACCUCUGAGGUCAGGGGAAGGUUUGGGGGACUCAAGUGUACAGGACUGGUAAGGUAUAAACAUGGUGACAGAGAAGCAUUCAAAGCAACAGGUAAAUUAAUUAGUACACUUGCCUACAUUGUUGCCUAGUGUUAUGAAGAUAAUUUAUUAUUACUCCUAAUAUCUUUUUUUAUUCUUUGUUAAAGUUAAAAUCAGAUGACAUAGCUUGUAACCUGUAUUUAUAUGCUCUAUAUAUUGUAAAAACAAAAACUAAAAAAAGGAACCUCAAUUAAAAAAAAAAUAGAAACCUUGAGAGAAUGAGAAGCUGCAGACACAACUGCUUUGAAAGUGCCUCAUUUCAAUCCAAAGGAAAAGGAGAGUCAAGUUUGUUAAGUCUGGACCCAUACUUCAUCUCAUCAUCCAAAAGUUGAGUCUGUUUACUAAAAGAGUAGAGUUUUCCUGUAAUGUCAUCGUUAAAAAAAUAAUUCUAAGAAUUGGUGAUUUGAAGCUUGAGGUUGCAAAUGUUUUUAUGUGGUGUUUACAGUAGAAAUUGCUAUUUGUUCACUUACAGUUAUAAAUUGAGGUUUUCAGAGGAGGCUAAUUAGUAAAUCAACCAAUCCUGUGACGAGCCCACAAACUGGGAACUCAGAGGCCUCCAGGAAGCUCUCCAGGAAAUAAUACAGUUACAGGUAUUACUCCUUGUAAAGAUUAUUUUACAGGUAAAAAACUAUGGUUCUAGACUUGUGGUUGUCAAGGGUGGGGGGAGUGGGAUUGAUUGGGAGUCUGGGGUUAAUAAAUGUAAACCACUGCAUUUGGAAAGGAUAAGCAAUGAGAUCCUGCUGCACAGCAGUGGGAACUAUAUCUACUACUCAUUUAUGAUGGAACAUGAUGGAGGAUAAUGUGAGAAAAAUAAAGUAUAUAUGUGUGUAACUGGGUCACUUUGCUGUACAGUAGAAACUGACAGAACACUCUAAACCAACUAUAAUGGAAAAAAUAAAAAUCAUUAAAAAAAGAAAAAAGAAAGGUCAAAAAAAUUAAAAAUCCUUAAGAAGAUGUGGUAUAUAUACAUAAUGGAAUACUACUCAGCCAUAAAAAGAACAAAAUAAUGCCAUUUGCAGCAAUAUGGAUGGAACUAGAGACUCUCAUACUAAGUGAAGUAAGUCACAAAGAGAAAGACAAAUACCAUACGAUAUCACUUAUAUCUGGAAUCUAAUAUAUAGCACAGAUAAACCUUUCCACAGAAAAGAAAUUCAUAGACUUGGGGAACAGACUUGUAGUUGCCAAAGGGGGGAGGGAGGGAGUUGGGUGGACUGGGAAUCUGGGGUUAUUAGAUGCAAACAAUUGCAUUUGGAGUGGGUAAGCAGUGAGAUCCAGCUGUACAGCAAUGGGAACUAUAUCUAGUCAUUUGUGAUGGAACAUGAUAGAGGAUAAUGUGAGAAAAUAAUGUAUAUAUAUGUAUGUGUAACUGGGUCACUUUGCUGUAAACCAACUAUAAUGGAAAAAAUAAAAAUCAUUAAAAAAUAAAUAUUAAAAAUUUGCUGAGGGUGAGGGGAAAUCCUAAAAAGCAAACAAAACAAAACAAAACAACUAUGGUUCUAACAGUUAGAUUAAAAAAAACCCCACAGAAUCUCACUUCUCUGGAAAGUACAAAAUGAUAAUACAAUAUGUGGGGCAGAAAUGGGAACUAAUUUCUUCCUGUAUGUAAAAAAACUGCUUUGUAGAGAUAAUUUUUCAUCUUAUAAUUAACCUAAAAGUCUGAUCUAGAUUUUCUGUUCCAUUCAUGCCUAUCAGAAAAAUGUCUGACCCUCUCCAGCCCUCUAAUUUAUGCUGGUACUUUCGUCUUUUACCAGGAAACACCAAUGGACUAGUUCUCAUUUUCAAAUGGCAAAAAGUAAUAGGUGAAUGAACGUGGAUCUUUCGCAGAGAACAUUAUAUGGAGGAUGUAUUAAACAGCAUUAAGAAUUGAAGUAAAAUUCACCUCCUUUUUGAAAAAUAAGGGUUUGGGGGAGUUCCCGUCGUGGCGCAUAUUUCAUUACAAGCUAAAGCAUACAACUGAUUUGGGGUCUACCUCUUUCUUAAGCUUCACCAAUUACAUCUCUCAUGUAACUACCUGAAAGAAUUUAUUCACUGUUUACCUAAAAAAAAGAAAAAAAAAGAAAAAAAAAA